AUCAGCAAGCACCAAGUCACGUCCCAGUCAACACGGUCAGAAGCUGCUGAACAAGCAGCUCAGCGGUGAAGCAGGUGCGAUGGGCGGUGCUUACCAGACUUGACUUAACCAUCAAGCAAACCAUGAAGUCAUCCAUGACCUCACCUCAAGUAGCCCACCAUAGGCUUUUUAGAAGUAGCUCACAAUAGCUGGUCUCAUAGUCCACAACUAGCUUUGAUGAGUCAUGCACAAGGAGGUGACUAAGCUACUUGGUCAAGGGACCAAACCCAUGCUGAAGGGUUUGGUCAACUGCUGAGCGGUCCAGCUCAACAGCUCAGAGGUAUGGAAUGGAGCCUAUAAAUAGAGGUCAUUUCCUUCGAGCAAAAAAGAGAGUAAUACACCAUUUCUUCAUAAAAUUCUCUCAAAAAUACUUGAAGGUCAGAAUUCUCUCAUUUAGGAAU
rnacentral:lncRNA from 1 species